UACCAUGGUGAUGGGUAUCACUAUAGCAACGCCCAGGCCCCCCGCCCAGCUCUACCAGCCGUGUGACGCGGAUGUGAGUUCACUUCCGGGGACGGCGACGGGAAGCGGCCGACGGGCUUAGCGUGCACCUGGGUGAGUUAAAUAAAGAGCCGGAUGAAAGGAGCACACCAACUCCAUCCUUUUGUUUAUUCCGGCAGAGGAGCAGUCAGCCAUCUAAUGAGUUUUAGUGGAAUGAGUCAUGGAUAGAGGCAAGCCAUUUGCGCAGAAUAAGCAUGCCACAAAAACACAAUUAAAGGAAGCACAAAAUGACGGUAGACAGGUACCCAUCCAUAGCAAAUGGCUCAGGAAGAUUAGGGGCCACGUCCGAACACUAAAUGCAUCUUGUUGAAAAGAAGGCCAACAAUAGAAGAGGUCCAAAGUGUGGCUUUUCCCGUCCUUCCAGACUCUCAACAGUGUUAGAAUCAAAAAGAUCUUCAAAUUCAGUGAGCAAAUGGAGAGCUGGGAGACUGAAGUGAUACAACACUGAAAAACGCAUAUUCAAUGCGACAUAAUCUGAUUCUAAUUCUGUGCUUCAUGAAUUUACGACUACCUGAUGGCAUUCACCCUUGACCACUGUUUUGCCAGUAACAAGAACCAUCAGAAUAAUAAAGAACAUCCUUUAAAUCAAGCUAACAAUUAUAAUAAUCUUGGUUUUGUAUUUGCUUUUUCUGUUUGUUUUACAAAUGUGCAAGCUGGUAAAAAAACAGAAAAUGCGGAGGUGACACAAAUAAACCCUAGUACAAAAGUUGCAUGGACACAGUAUGUGAACGAAUGCCACUGGUUUCUAAACAAAUGCGUAUGCUUGCACUUUUGUGUCGUAUUUUACCAUGCGUCUG